UACGUAGGUGGCAAGCGUUGUCCGGAAUUAUUGGGCGUAAAGGGCGUGUAGGUGGACUCAUAAGUCGUGUGUCUAAGUGCGAAGCUCAACUUCGUAUAGGCGCAGGAAACUGUGAGCCUUGAGUGCAGGAGAGGAAAGUGGAAUUCCCAGUGUAGCGGUGAAAUGCGUAGAUAUUGGGAGGAACACCAGUGGCGAAGGCGACUUUCUGGACUGUGUCUGACACUGAGGCGCGAAAGCUAGGGGAGCGAAC
rnacentral:rRNA from 1 species